GGCUCAUUUCGCAUCGCUCCGGUACGAUGUACCAUAUAAAGUGAAAUUGCACCAAUUUUAACGCUAUUUUACCAAUUUAGUGAAAAUAACGUUAAAAGCGGCGGACAGUUAAUCAUGCAUCAUGUGGUGGCGUUGAUAGCUAAAGACAAGGGGUUACAUGCGCUAAUCGGCCUCUGUCCCGGUUGCUAAGUGUUACGUGCCUUAUGUCCAAGGCUUGAUGCAAAACUACUAUCGAGUCAGGGGUCUCACUGGAAGCGGCCUCUCUAUCCCUACGGGGUAGAGGUAAGGUUGUCUACAUCUUACCCUCAUUAGACCUUACCUUAGCUUUGCUAUUGGUGGGAUUUACCGAGUAUGAUGAUGAUGUUUUGGGGUUGAUAUACGUGCUUAAACGCUUUCACAUGAUACUAGGCAUAUAUGCGAUGUUAUAAAUUGUUUGACAAACGGGUUAUAUGCCUAUGUGUUUUUAAUGUGAUUUAGAGUUUAAUGUGAUUUGAGCCUUGUGUGCUGGUAGUCGAUGUAGCAACGAUGAGAUAAUGGUGGAACCAGUCAUUGUCUAUGGGUGAUGAUCAUUGCCUAUGGGGGUAAUGUGUUUUGAGGAGGUAGGCAUGAUGCGCCCUGAGGAUUAGGGCAAUCGUUGUCUAAUAUAUAGAUGAGUAGGAUAUUUGCACACAGUCUCAAUAGGAGUUACGGGAAGUAAAUAACGGGUUUUGAAGUUAUCUAUUGAUGUUUUAUACACGAUGAACUAUGCUUUCGAAACCAUGUUGUGUUUAAACGUUUUGAAGUCUAUAACAUGUCACUUUACUUUAUAAAGCUUGCUCAACGAGGCGUUGCUAAUAGUUUUUAGCAUGCAUAAGGUCCAAAGGAUGUGCUUUAUCUGGAUGGCGGCUACCCGGCAGAGUUGUGAAGGUUACUUGGCAGUCUUGAACAUUGGCAUUCCUGUCUAUUGAACAUUUUGCGACAUUGAAUUGAUUGUUGGAUACUUGAUGUUUUGUUCUUACAAUAAGAUUUAUUUUCCGCCGCAUUGAGUUAAAUUUUCAAGUCUUGGAAUCCAUGUGUGUUUUGGGUGGGGUCAACUAGAAUCCCCGCUUUGGAAAUUUCGUUGCCCACAUCCCUGAGUUCCUUCUUUAGUAACAAUCUGCAACCCUCCUUCUAAGUGUCGUUAGAGCAUUCACAUCCCUUCCACCAUUUCUACCUCUAUAAUUACACUAAAAAACAUUGUAUUUUCUAGUCUCCUUUUAAUUAAAUAAUAUUUUUUAUUCCUUUAUCAAUUCCUUUUCUCUCCUUCACUCGCUUAAAAAAUCAUAA
rnacentral:lncRNA from 1 species